rnacentral:rRNA from 1 species
UACGUAGGGGGGCAAGCGUUGUCCGGAUUUAUUGGGCGUAAAGAGCGUGUAGGCGGCCUGACAGGUCUGCUGUGAAAACUCGAGGCUCAACCUCGAGAUGUCGGCGGAAACCGUCUGGCUAGAGUCCGGAAGAGGAGAGUGGAAUUCCUGGUGUAGCGGUGAAAUGCGCAGAUAUCAGGAAGAACACCCGUGGCGAAGGCGGCUCUCUGGGACGGUACUGACGCUGAGACGCGAAAGCGUGGGGAGCGAACAGG